rnacentral:rRNA from 1 species
UACGGAGGGUGCAAGCGUUGUCCGGAUUUAUUGGGUUUAAAGGGUGCGUAGGCGGCUAAUUAAGUCAGCGGUGAAAUUCCACAGCUCAACUGUGGAACUGCCAUUGAUACUGGUUGGCUUGAGUACAGAUGAGGUAGGCGGAAUUGACAGUGUAGCGGUGAAAUUCGUAGAUAUUAGGAAGAACACCAGUGGCGAAGGCGGCUCACUGGCCCGGUACUGACGCUGAUGUGCGAAAGCGUGGGGGAGCAAACAGG